rnacentral:rRNA from 1 species
CCCUAAGGAUUCCUACGCAACGUUCAUCGUCGUAGGGUUAGUCGGGACCUAAGGCGUAUCCUGAAAAGGAUGGUCGAUGGAUAACUGGUUAAUAUUCCAGUACUUAUUUAUAGAGUGAUGGGGUGACGCAUCGAGAUUUGUAAGAGCUUAUUAAGGAUUUGAGUCGAAAGAGUGAGGUUUUUAUGACGUUAGUCGUAAAGGUAGUUGCAGGAAAAUCCACAACUAUUAAUACUGAGCUUGAUCGGGAUUUAACUCCUCGGAGUUAGAAAUUCUUAUCGUUUUGGUGCCGAGAAAAACCUCUAAACUUAAUCUAUAGAUAACCCGUACCCAGAUCAGACACUUGUGGGGUGGUAGAGAAUACUAAGAUAAUCGAGAUAACUAAUGGGUAAGGAACUUGGCAAAUUAGCGGACGUACUUUCGAAAUAAGUCCUGUCCCGAGCAAUCGGGAUCGCAGCGAAAGAGAUGGGGGGAACUGUUUAUCAAAAACACAGCUCGCUGCUAACUCGUAAGAGGAUGUAUAGCGGGUGAUGCCUGUCCAAUGCCAGAAUGUUAUGCUCUCUUGUGCAAGCUCGAGGGUUAAGCACUGGUGAAUGACGGCCGUAACUAUGACGGUCCUAAGGUAGCGAAAUUCCUUGUCAGGUAAGUUCUGACGCGCAUGAAUGGCAUAAUCAUCCCCAUGCUGUCUUACCCUUAGACUCGGUGAAAUUACAAUCCCGGUAAAAAUGCCGGGUAGUCACAGUUAGACGGAAAGACCCUGUGAAGCUUUACUGUAGAUUGAUAUUGGACUGUAGCAUGUUUUGCUCAGUAUAGGUGGGAGGCUUUGAUGUUUCGACUUCGGUUGGGGCGGAGCCAAAAGUGAGAUACCACCCAAAAUAUGUAGCAGUUCUAAUCCCUGUGUUGGGAGACAGUUUCAGUUGGACAGUUUACCUGGGGCGGGUGCCUCCUAAAAAGUAGCGGAGGCGUGCAAAGGUUUGCUUACUACGGAUGGAAACCGUGGUGAAUGUGUAUUCGCAAAAGCAAGCUUGACUGUGAGACUGACAGGUCGAACAGAUACGAAAGUAGGCGAAAGUGAUCCGGAUCUUCCGAGUGGAAGGGGAUCCGCUCAACGGAUAAAAGUUACUCCGGGGAUAACAGGCUAAUGGAAUCUAAGCGUUCAUAGCGACGAUUCCGUUUGGCACCUCGAUGUCGACUCGUCGCAUCCUGGGGCUGUAGAAGGUCCCAAGGGUUGGGUUGUUCACCCAUUAAAGCGGGACGCGAGUUGGGUUCAGAACGUCGUGAGACAGUUCGGUCCCUAUCUACUGUGACCGUAGGAUAUUUGAGAGAUGCUGACCCUAGUACGAGAGGACCGGGUUGGACGAGCCUCUGAUAGUACCAGUUGUUCCACCUAGGAGCACGGCUGGAUAGUUAAGCUCGGAAAAGGUAACCGCUGAAAGCAUCUAAGUGGGAAACUUGUCUCAAGAUUAGAUAUCCCUCUCCUUUAUGGAGGUAAGACCUCUGGUAGACUACCAGUUUGAUAGGCAUUAAGUGUAAGCCCUGUAAGGGGUUGAGCUGAGAUGUACUAAUUGGUCGAGCGGGUUUAUCG